UACAGAGGGUGCGAGCGUUAAUCGGAGUUACUGGGCGUAAAGGGCGCGUAGGCGGUUAUUUAAGAUUGAUGUGAAAUCCCCGGGCUCAACCCGGGAACUGCGUCCGAUACUGGCGGGCUUGAAUCCGGGAGAGGGAUGCGGAAUUCCAGGUGUAGCGGUGAAAUGCGCAGAUAUCAGGAGGAACACCGGUGGCGAAGGCGGUUCUCUGGGCAUGUCCUGACGCUGAGGAGCGAAAGCGUGGGGAGCGAACAGG
rnacentral:rRNA from 1 species